UCUACAUCCCAAAAUUUUUGAAAAACAUCCAGUACCAAACAACUGAGGAGCUUCAUAAGAAGAAUGUUUUUUGUCUGCAUAAAAUGACCUGAUGCUUUCUUAGGACAGCUGUGGCCAUUUUGCAGGUCUCCUCUCCUGUUGUAUGCGUGCCUGGUUGCAGGAAGGUGUGGUACAGAGACUAAAGGACAGCACCAUCUUUCAUUCUCCC